rnacentral:rRNA from 4 species
UCUAGGCCCCGUCAGGAGCCCGAGUUGUAAUUUGGAGAGGACACUUCGGGAUUGCCCCAGUAACGGCGAGUGAAGCGGCAAAAGCUCAAAUUUGAAAUCUGGCUCCUUCCGGGGUCCGAGUUGUAAUUUGCAGAGGAUGCUUUGGGUGCACCCGCGGCGUAAGUCCCUUGGAACAGGGCGUCAUAGAGGGUGAGAAUCCCGUCUUGAGUCGCUGGCGUGUGCCCGUGCAAAGCUCCUUCGACGAGUCGAGUUGUUUGGGAAUGCAGCUCUAAUUGGGUGGUAAAUUUCAUCUAAAGCUAAAUACUGGCCGGAGACCGAUAGCGAACAAGUAGAGUGAUCGAAAGGUUAAAAGCACCUUGAAAAGGGAGUUAAAUAGCACGUGAAAUUGUUGAAAGGGAAGCGCUUGCAGCCAGACUCGGGCGCGGAGGCUCAGCGGGCAUGUUUGCCCGUGUACUCCUUCGCGCCCGGGCCAGCAUCGGUUUUGGCGGCCGGUCAAAGGCCCCCGGAAUGUGUCGUCCUCCGGGACGUCUUAUAGCCGGGGGUGCAAUGCGGCCAGCCGGGACCGAGGAACGCGCUUCGGCACGGAUGCUGGCGUAAUGGCUGUAAGCGGCCCGUCUUGAAACAC